GAUGAACGCUGGCGGCGUGCCUAAUACAUGCAAGUCGAGCGAACAGACGAGGAGCUUGCUCCUCUGACGUUAGCGGCGGACGGGUGAGUAACACGUGGAUAACCUACCUAUAAGACUGGGAUAACUUCGGGAAACCGGAGCUAAUACCGGAUAAUAUAUUGAACCGCAUGGUUCAAUAGUGAAAGACGGUUUUGCUGUCACUUAUAGAUGGAUCCGCGCCGCAUUAGCUAGUUGGUAAGGUAACGGCUUACCAAGGCAACGAUGCGUAGCCGACCUGAGAGGGGGAUCGGCCACAAUGGAAAUGAGACACGGUCCCGAAUCCCACGGGAGGCAGGCAUAGGGAAUUUUACGCAAUGGGCGAAAGCCUGAAGGAGCAACGGCGCGUGAGUGAAGAAGGUUUUCGGAUUGGUAAACUCUGUUAUUAGGGAAGAACAAAUGUGUAAGUAACUAUGCACGUCUUGACGGUACCUAAUCAGAAAGCCACGGCUAACUACGUG
rnacentral:rRNA from 1 species